rnacentral:rRNA from 1 species
GACGAACGCUGGCGGCGUGCUUAACACAUGCAAGUCGAACGAAGUGGCGAACGGGUGAGUAACGUGUAAUCAACCUGCCCUUCAGAGGGGGCCAACAGUUGGAAACGUCUGCUAAUACCGCUUAUUGAUGGAGGGGUUUGCGUCUGAUUGGCUGGUUGGGGGGGUAACGGCCCACCAAGGCGAUGAUCAGUAGCCGGGCUGUGAGGGUGAACGGCCACAGUGGGACUGGGACACGGCCCAGAAUCCUACGGGAUGCAGCAGUGGGGAAUCUUCCGCAAUGGGCGAAAGUCUGACGGAGCAACUCCGCGUGAGAUAUGACGGCCUUCGGGUUGUAAAGCUCUGUUAAUCGGGACGCGGUACCGGAAGAGAAAGCCACGGCUAACUACGUGCCAGCAGCCGCGGUAAUAC